UACGAAGGGAGCUAGCGUUGUUCGGAAUCACUGGGCGUAAAGCGCACGUAGGCGGCUUUGUAAGUUAGAGGUGAAAGCCCGGAGCUCAAACUCCGGAAUUGCCUUUAAGACUGCAUCGCUAGAAUUGUGGAGAGGUGAGUGGAAUUCCGAGUGGUAGAGGUGAAAUCGUUAGAUAUUCGGAAGAACACCAGUGGCGAAGGCGACUCACUGGACACAUAUUGACGCUGAGGUGCGAAAGCGUGGGGAGCAAACAGG
rnacentral:rRNA from 1 species